rnacentral:rRNA from 1 species
GACGAACGCUGUCGGCGUGCUUAACACAUGCAAGUCGAACGGAAAGGCCCUGCUUUUGUGGGGUGCUCGAGCGGCGAACGGGUGAGUAACACGUGAGUAACCUGCCCUUGACUUUGGGAUAACUUCAGGAAACUGGGGCUAAUACCGGAUAGGAGCUCCUGCUGCAUGGUGGGGGUUGGAAAGUUUCGGCGGUUGGGGAUGGACUCGCGGCUUAUCAGCUUGUUGGUGGGGUAGUGGCUUACCAAGGCUUUGACGGGUAGCCGGCCUGAGAGGGUGACCGGCCACAUUGGGACUGAGAUACGGCCCAGACUCCUACGGGAGGCAGCAGUGGGGAAUAUUGCACAAUGGGCGGAAGCCUGAUGCAGCAACGCCGCGUGCGGGAUGACGGCCUUCGGGUUGUAAACCGCUUUCGCCUGUGACGAAGCGUGAGUGACGGUAAUGGGUAAAGAAGCACCGGCUAACUACGUGCCAGCAGCCGCGGUGAUACGUAGGGUGCGAGCGUUGUCCGGAUUUAUUGGGCGUAAAGGGCUCGUAGGUGGUUGAUCGCGUCGGAAGUGUAAUCUUGGGGCUUAACCCUGAGCGUGCUUUCGAUACGGGUUGACUUGAGGAAGGUAGGGGAGAAUGGAAUUCCUGGUGGAGCGGUGGAAUGCGCAGAUAUCAGGAGGAACACCAGUGGCGAAGGCGGUUCUCUGGGCCUUUCCUGACGCUGAGGAGCGAAAGCGUGGGGAGCGAACAGGCUUAGAUACCCUGGUAGUCCACGCUGUAAACGGUGGGUACUAGGUGUGGGGUCCAUUCCACGGGUUCCGUGCCGUAGCUAACGCUUUAAGUACCCCGCCUGGGGAGUACGGCCGCAAGGCUAAAACUCAAAGGAAUUGACGGGGCCCCGCACAAGCGGCGGAGCAUGCGGAUUAAUUCGAUGCAACGCGUAGAACCUUACCUGGGUUUGACAUGGAUCGGGAGUGCUCAGAGAUGGGUGUGCCUCUUUUGGGGUCGGUUCACAGGUGGUGCAUGCCUGUCGUCAGCUCGUGUCGUGAGAUGUUGGGUUAAGUCCCGCAACGAGCGCAACCCUUGUUCACUGUUGCCAGCACGUUAUGGUGGGGACUCAGUGGAGACCGCCGGGGUCAACUCGGAGGAAGGUGGGGAUGACGUCAAGUCAUCAUGCCCCUUAUGUCCAGGGCUUCACGCAUGCUACAAUGGCUGGUACAGAGAGUGGCGAGCCUGUGAGGGUGAGCGAAUCUCGGAAAGCCGGUCUCAGUUCGGAUUGGGGUCUGCAACUCGACCUCAUGAAGUCGGAGUCGCUAGUAAUCGCAGAUCAGCAACGCUGCGGUGAAUACGUUCCCGGG